UACGGGGGGGGCAAGCGUUGUUCGGAAUUACUGGGCGUAAAGGGCUCGUAGGUGGCCAACUAAGUCGGGACGUGAAAUCCCUCGGCUUAACCGGGGAACUGCGUCCGAUACUGGAUGGCUUGAGUUUGGGAGAGGGAUGCGGAAUUCCAGGUGUAGCGGUGAAAUGCGUAGAUAUCUGGAGGAACACCGGUGGCGAAGGCGGCAUCCUGGACCAACACGUGACACUGAGGCACGAAAGCGUGGGGAGCAAACAGGG
rnacentral:rRNA from 1 species